UACAGAGGGUGCGAGCGUUAAUCGGAGUUACUGGGCGUAAAGGGCGCGUAGGCGGUUAUAUGGGUGUGAUGUGAAAGCCCCGAGCUUAACUUGGGAAGUGCUUUUGAUACUGCAGAGCUUGAAUGUGGGAGAGGGUAGUGGAAUUCCAGGUGUAGUGGUGAAAUACGUAGAUAUCUGGAGGAACACCGGUGGCGAAGGCGGCUACCUGGCCCAACAUUGACGCUGAGACCCGAAAGCAUGGGGAUCAAACAGG
rnacentral:rRNA from 1 species